rnacentral:rRNA from 1 species
AGGGAUAGCCCAGAGAAAUUUGGAUUAAUACCUCAUAGUAUAUUACUCUCGCAUGAGAUUAUUAUUAAAGAUUUAUCGGUGAAAGAUGAGCAUGCGUCCCAUUAUUUAGUUGGUAAGGUAACGGCUUACCAAGACUACAAUGGGUAGGGGUCCUGAGAGGGAGAUCCCCCACACUGGUACUGAGACACGGACCAGACUCCUACGGGAGGCAGCAGUGAGGAAUAUUGGACAAUGGGCGCAAGCCUGAUCCAGCCAUGCCGCGUGCAGGAUGACGGUCCUAUGGAUUGUAAACUGCUUUUAUACGAGAAGAAACACUAGUUCGUGAACUAGCUUGACGGUAUCGUAAGAAUAAGGAUCGGCUAACUCCGUGCCAGCAGCCGCGGUAAUACGGAGGAUCCAAGCGUUAUCCGGAAUCAUUGGGUUUAAAGGGUCCGUAGGCGGUCAGAUAAGUCAGUGGUGAAAGCCCAUCGCUCAACGGUGGAACGGCCAUUGAUACUGUCUGACUUGAAUUAUUAGGAAGUAACUAGAAUAUGUAGUGUAGCGGUGAAAUGCUUAGAGAUUACAUGGAAUACCAAUUGCGAAGGCAGGUUACUACUAAUAUAUUGACGCUGAUGGACGAAAGCGUGGGUAGCGAACAGGAUUAGAUACCCU